rnacentral:lncRNA from 1 species
UGAUGGUUGGUUAGGAUUUGUUGAAUUUUCGCUAUAGGAAAUAGGAAUUAAAACCCUAGGUUUUGGCCGGUUUGGGAAUUUCAAAUCCGGCCACUUCCGGCCAUUUUUCGGGGUAGGUCCGAGAACAAAAGUGGCUCCAAUUAAUGUUUUCAACCUAGGGUAGGAACCUUGGCCGUUAGUUUUUAGAAUUUUCCGGCGAAUGUUAUCGCUUUGGACACCCACGCGCUGCCGGCGCGUGUGGUGGCGCGUGGGAUGCUGUGGCAGUGGGGCAUUGUGUCCUAGAGCAAUCUCCUGUUUGUCAUGAGCGCGUAGGUUUG